rnacentral:lncRNA from 1 species
AACAUGUGUUUUUAUAGACUACAAACAUCUGCAGCCCCCUAGGUCUCAUAUGUCUCCUCAUUCUUGUGUCUUUACACAGUCUAAAACCUCUACAGGCUCACUGGCACUAUCGUCAUUUUCUGCCGAAUCUGUCUGGAGAUGACAGAAACAUUGUGGCAUUUGCUACUUACUGUCACGUUGCAUUGAAGUGCAGAGCUGAUGUAGGAAUAACACCCAUUUAAUUGCUGGCACCUGUGGCAGCGCUGUGGCUGCAGAAUGGAAGAGUGGCCGAGACUAGCAGCUACUCAUUAGUAGUACUCACAGUUGUAAAUGCUGGUGUAUACUGUGUAUGGUAACAGAUUCAGUUUCUGGUACCCAUUGGAUACACAGUGAUGGAAGCAUCAAUCCAGUAGGCUCCAUACUUCCAUGCCAUCUGCAUCUCCCUCCAAU